rnacentral:lncRNA from 1 species
UUUUAUGUCUUGAUAACUAUAGUAGUAUUCUAGUUUGAUUCUUGUUGCUGUGAUAAAACACUGACCAAAAGCAACUUUGGGGAGGAAAAGAUUUAUUUAGCUUACACAUCCAGAUCACUGUCCACUGGUGGUGAGGAACCUGGAGUUAGGCCUCCUGGCUAUGCAUGUAGCAUUCCCUCUAAUCAGGGAACUCACUCAGAGCCAGGGAGGCAUACCAGAUCCAGAGGAAUGCUGAUUGCUGGCUCACAGGCUCAUGCUUAGCUACAUUUCUUACUUAGCCCAGGCCUCCUGUCAAGGGAAUGGUGCCUCCCACAGUGGGGUUACUCCUUCAUAGUUAACAGUCAAGGUACUCCCUCAAGUGACUCUAGGCUGGUUCAAGUUUAGUAAAAGCUACCCAAAAUCUAGUAAUGAAGCAAGUCUAUUUCUUCAAAGACAAAAUAUUAAUUUUUUUCUUUUUUUUUUAAUCUUCAAAACAACCACUACCAAAAACCCAUCUAUAGGAAAGAAGGUGGAAAAUUUGGCUUUGCAGAGUCUAUAGCAAAUCAGAGAAUCACAGCAUUUAAAAUGGAGAAGGCCCCUAUUGAUACCUCCAACAUAGAAGAGAAAGCAGAAGAAAUUAUUGCGGAAGCCGAACCUCCUCCAGAGGUGUAUCUUUAUUGGGUGGUUUUUUACAGUAAUAUGAUGCGUAAUUUUUUUGUUUUGUUUUUUAAGGUUAUAGUGUGCAUAUUGAAUUUUGUUUUGGGGGAACUCGUACUAUAAGAGGAAGAUACCCCAAAUUGAGUUGAUAGUGUAACAUCUAUCUUCUCUUCGUUAUCUCUAAAAACUGUACAUUUUUCUAUUUUAAGAACCAACUUAGAGCUGGGGAUGUAGCUCCUUGGUGCUGCACUUUUCUACUAUGUUUAAGGCAGACCCUGGGUUUCAUUCCGGUUUUGGUUGUAUUCCCCUUUCCCUUUAAUUUCCCUUUGAGAAGUGGUACUUCAAUAUUAAUGACAUGGCCAAGUUCUUUAUGCAUUGCUGUGUAAUCUUGAGAUCAUGUGCAGUUGCUCUUGAGCUGUGGAACACAGGAAGCGUCUUAGAGGGAACCUGAUCUCUUCUCAGUAGCUCAUUAACCAUUGCAGAUAGUCAGUUUUCUGAACUUGUUGAAGUGUUUCUAAACCUGUGCUGUGGACUCCUGGAACUGCCCAGAUUGGAGAGGGAAUAGAAAACUCCUGGGGUGACCUUGAAGAUUCUGAGAAGGAAGAGGAGGAGGAAGGUGGCAUUGAUGAAACUGUCAUUCUUGAUGAUACAAAGAUGGACACGGGAGAAGUUUCUGAUAUUGGGAGCCAAGGUGCCCCUAUAGUGCUAUCAGAUAGUGAAGAAGAAGAAAUGAUUAUUUUGGAGCCAGAGAAGAGUCCAAAAAAAAUAAGAGCUCAGACCAGUGCAAACCAGAAGGCACCAAGUAAAAGUCAAGGGAAAAGGAGGAAAAAGAAGAGAACUGCUAAUUAAGCUAAAGUGGUGUGGAUGUGUAUGUAUAUAUAUAUAUAAAAUAUAUAUAUAUAUAACUAAUAAGAGGGUAUUUGCUCAGUGCUAACAGCUCUGGAUAUUUUUUAUUUGAAAAUCUAUUAUGAGCUGAACUUAAUAAACUGUUUUGUCUUUAACAUUAUGCUUCGAAUAAACUUUCUGGAAAACUUUUCUGUUGCAUAAAAGCUUCCCAAUUCAUGUAAAACCUUAUUUGUAAAAGUUGGUAAAUAAAAUGUCUCCAUAAACUACUGU